rnacentral:piRNA from 1 species
UAAAAUACUAGCUGGAGGAAU